GGGCGAUUAGCUCAGUUGGUUCAGAGCGUACGCCUCACACGCGUAAGGUCGUAGGUUCGAAUCCUACAUCGCCCACCA
rnacentral:tRNA from 1 species